rnacentral:rRNA from 1 species
GUGGGGAAUAUUGGACAAUGGGCGAAAGCCUGAUCCAGCAAUGCCGCGUGAGUGAUGAAGGCCUUAGGGUUGUAAAGCUCUUUUACCCGGGAUGAUAAUGACAGUACCGGGAGAAUAAGCUCCGGCUAACUCCGUGCCAGCAGCCGCGGUAAUACGGAGGGAGCUAGCGUUAUUCGGAAUUACUGGGCGUAAAGCGCACGUAGGCGGCUUUGUAAGUUAGAGGUGAAAGCCUGGAGCUCAACUCCAGAAUUGCCUUUAAGACUGCAUCGCUUGAAUCCAGGAGAGGUGAGUGGAAUUCCGAGUGUAGAGGUGAAAUUCGUAGAUAUUCGGAAGAACACCAGUGGCGAAGGCGGCUCACUGGACUGGUAUUGACGCUGAGGUGCGAAAGCGUGGGGAGCAAACAGGAUUAGAAACCCUAGUAGUCC